UGAGACUAAGCCAUUAACCUCUUUAACCUCUCGGCCAUAUAGCCCACCACAAUUGUGACAUGUAUAGAAGAAACAGGAGAUCUGGAUAGCUAUUGUGAGGUUGUUGCAGUCGUAGCAGUAGGCACAUCAAUAGGUGGAUGAGGCAUUUGAUUAGCUAAAACAGGGGCCUACUUUCCUGUAUCGAGCUCUCCUGAUCCAGUUCAAGGGAUGAAAAAGUGAUUCCGUAAGAGAAGUUUGCAUCAUGUGGGUAGAGAGAAGUAUCCCGAAUUGAGAAGGAGAAGUUGCAUCAUGAGGGAUUUGAUUAGCUAAACAAAGAUCCUCGAGUCCUUGGGCCACACUCAACCAUCUCCUGUCGAAUGAUGCCGACAAGAUUAAUGUGGAGGACCUUCCGAAUGCUAUAGAAGAGCAUAACUCUUUCCAAUGAAAUGGUGGUGUCGUACGUAGUCGGCAUAAUUCUAUGCUUUAUGAAAUAAAACCAUAUAGCCAACUUCUCCUUGAUAUCCUCCGAUUUUAAUAUGCGGCAUCCCCUUGGAGAUUGCCCCAUCCUGCUCGUCCAACUGCCAUUAUUCUUAAGACAUCCUCCAUUUGUUCCUCAGGCGGGGCAUACAUCCUCGUGAAACUCUCCUCUGCAUGCUCAUUCGGUGCCAUAGAGAGAAUUAAUGGUCUUGGCAAAAAGAAUCAACCUCAACCACUUGGACCACAAAAAUGCUCCCCUCUUGGGCUGCUCCCGAGGUAAAAUUUUUGUACCAACGCAAUGCUGGUAGGGGUAGGCUGUCAGCAUAAGGAUUCCCAUUCAUAGUGAGCAAUGACAAGAGUAAUGAAUGAUGGAAGUUCACCUGCUCUGUUGGAGAACCCGUUCUCCAAUUGUCCCUUUUUUUUUGCCAACUCUGCCUCAUCACCUGAUUCAUCACUAGAGGAUGAGAUCACCACUCUAGAGGUAUUUUUCAUCCUUGGCCUCUUCUUUUCUGAUGGUUCCUCAUUAGACUUGGCUUUCCUCUUACCAGUUGAUCUAGUGACCCUCAUAGGAGUCACGGAUUCAGGCACAGAUUGCUUGACAAUCUCUUCUACUUCCUCAAGUGAAGUGGAAUUCUCCUACUCCUCAUCUGACGAACUUUCCUCCGAAAUCCAUCCCUUAGUCUCGUAGUCAAACAAUUCAUCACAUUCCUCCUAUUCUUCAGCCAUAUGGGUCUUGCCCUCCUUGUAUUAGAAGAGUGAUGCAUUCUUAGUAUCUUCAAUUGGUUGUUUAGGCUGUUUAAAAGACGCAACCUUUGUUUCUCUCUACGGCAGGCUAAAUGCGAUCAUGUCCACACUCUUUUUCUUUCUCUGCUUCAGCCUUUUUCUUGCUUUUGUAGCCACCUGCCUCAGAUUUUAUUUCCUACUCUCUUGUGGCUUCUUCCAUGUCUCUUCUUAAUUCUUCUUAUUUGUCUUCCUUCUCUUUUCGUUUUGCCUCCUCUUCCUUCCUUCUUUCUUCUUCAUCCUCAGCUACCUUCAAUCUUGCCAGUAUUUAUGUGCACAUUGCUCCACCGAUUGGAUGGCUUUCUGCAUUACUUCUCUACAAAGCUCAUUUGUUGAUACCUAUGUUUGGAGAAGGUGAAGAUCAGAUGAAGGGUCAACCAAUUUACAGGUGAUGACUAUACCCCGAGGACGAAUCCUUCUCAAGAGGAGGAGGAUGAUGCGAACAAAGGAACAUCAAUUAUCAUGUCUCAAGGUUCCAUUAUAAGGUCAAGAGCCAAAAAGCUACAAGCUUUAAUCACUCAUAUUCAAGCUAUGGUGACCUCAACAAAGGAUAUUGUAGAAGAUGUCAGAGUCCUUUCAUACAUGCUGUGCAAAGUUGAAUUUCAAGAUGAAGAUGCAUUAAACGCAUUCUAACUUGCAUUAAAUGAAUUCUUACUUAAAUUAAUGGAAUUCGAGUUGAAGCUAAUCCAUGGAUGGUUACAAAGACAUCACUUUUAUCUUUGGCUUUUAAUUGUAAUUUCAGUUUGGUUUUAUUUUUUCUUUUUCAUUUAAGCCUUGUUUUUAGUAAGGGGGUUAUGAAGAAUUGAAACUUAUACAGGUUACUUUGUUCUCCA